rnacentral:rRNA from 1 species
GACGGAGGAGGCAAGCGUUAUCCGGAAUUAUUGGGCGUAAAGCGUCCGCAGGUGGCUUUCCAAGUCUGCUGCCAAAGCCCGAGGCUUAACCUCGGAUCGGCGGUGGAAACUGGAUCGCUAGAGUACGUAAGGGGUAGGGGGAAUUCCCGGUGUAGCGGUGAAUAGCGUAGAUAUCGGGAAGAACACCAGCGAAGAAAGUGCCCUACUGGGACGUUACUGACACUCAUGGACGAAAGCUAGGGGAGCGAAAGGG